rnacentral:rRNA from 1 species
UAGGGUAAUCUUCGGCAAUGGACGAAAGUCUGACCGAGCAACGCCGCGUGAGUGAAGAAGGUUUUCGGAUCGUAAAACUCUGUUGGUAGAGAAGAACGUUGGUGAGAGUGGAAAGCUCAUCAAGUGACGGUAACUACCCAGAAAGGGACGGCUAACUACGUGCCAC